AGCGCUCCACCAAUCCCUCGCACGCCUCCUCCUCUCCCAAAUCCCCAAUCCCGUCGCCCGGUUCCUCCUCCCCAAUCCCAGGCCUCGCACCGCGCCCCAUUCCCCGACGCUCCUCUCCAUCGGCGGCAUCCGCUGCUUCGCGCCGCCACCCCGUCGUCAUUGCUAGGGCCGCCUCCCCUUCCCGCCCCUUCCGUCCUCAGCGCACGUCGUCGUCCCCACCCCGACGCUCGCCGUCAUAGCCUUCUUCGUCGAGUCAGCGCUCGAGGACGCGGAGCAGAAGCCCUCCAUAGGGGCGCUCGUGCUGGAGACGGCGGCGAGGUGAGCACGAAGGAGUUGCAGCCUUGAGGUACCUCCACCUCGCGCCCCACCCCAUCUCUCACCCAAUCUCCUCCCUCUCCACUCCACAUCGUGGUAGAGCCGCCGCCACCACGCCAUAUCCUCGUCGAGCCACCACCCCAUGUAGUGGUCGACCUUGUCGCGUUGCCGUCGCCGUCGCCUGGAGGGAGCAUAGGCGGCCGCUCGCACCACCACCGCGGGAUGUCGCCAUUACCGGGAGGAGGUUUGCGGAAGGGGAAUCGGCAGAUUGAUGCGGGGGAUUGAGCAAAGAGUGAACGAGGGUGGCCUCGGGCCGCCAGCGAGCUCGCCCUCUCGUCCUCAUGGGGGACGCUGUCGUCCGGGCAACGUCUUCCUGUGCGGUCUCCGGCUCUAUCGGGAGAUUUAGGAUGACGGUCUACGCGGCCUUCGCUCUUCGGUACUGUCGGGAGAUUGAGGCGGACGGUCUACGCGGCCUCCGGCACUGUCGGGAGAUUGGGGAGGAUGGUCGUCCAGCUCAGAGAUCCGGCCUCCUCAUCUCCAUCCACAUCACCAGGACGCGCACCUGUAGCUUGACCCUUACACCGUCCUCUGAAGUGCUUCUCCCAGAUAUGGCUCAACACUGUUGAUUCAACAGGGCUUGGUGAUGCGGCUCCGGCACAGGCUGUAUGGCCUUGUUUUCCAAGAUUGAUAUGUCAUCGGAGAUGGUACAUCUGAUGAGUAUUAGGAUGGUGUUGUGCGAGUCUUUUUAAUUUUUUCCUCCCGAGUACUGUACAAAUAUGAGAGAUAUUCAUGCAUCUCAUAUUGUGGAAGAAUACCUUGAUUCGCUGACUAGAUGAGCAAGGUAACCAAGCUGAGGAGAGACCUGUUGAUUUGGACUUGCGGGAGCGUGUCUCAGAUGGCUACAUUAUCGGGGUUUUCGGAUUUCCUCUUCAUAUGUUAUUCUAUAGUCGAGCUGAUUGAAGUGUACUGUUGCAACUUGUGUGUAUGUGUUUACCAAUGCUGCAGUAGGUAAAUGAAUUUUAAUGGGCAUACACAUUAGAAGAAAUCAAUGUGUUUCACGAUGAAAUAUGAUUUACAAGUGCAUGAGGAAGGACAUUUUCUUUGAACUUACUGUUUGCAAAUUCUCAGAUAGGGAUUUAUAUGUACACAGACUUAGUAGGUUCAGUCUCUUCACAUUCAUUUUAUCAUAUUGCGGAUGCCACCAUCCCAAAUGAUUUUUUCACCAGAAAUUCAUGGAUAUACAGUUUGUGAUGUGUUCUCUGCUCCAUUGCCUGUGACCACUGGCCCCUCAGCUUGCAGAUGCCGCCGUCAUUGCUUGGUUGGCAUGGGCGCCACGAGAUUUGGUGUGGUCGAGCACCAUCGAGGGCCUAUCAUCAGCAAUCAAUUACGCUUCGCAACACAUUUUUGGUUAAAAUGGUAGUGAUGUUUCAAAUAUGACCUUGCUGCAUCUGGUCCUCCCAAAGGUACGUACAUAACUUUUUCUACUGCCUCCAUUAGGGAGUAUAUAUUAUUCCUACCCCCUUCUCUUCCAGUGCUCUCACAUUCCUUGAAAACCUAUACCACUGCAGUAUGUCCAACUGAUAAUUGGAACAGUUAGUUAGGUAUGUCCAACUGAUAAUUGGAACAGUUAGUUAGGUAACACAGAAGGCAUUGUUAUUAUUCUUUAUCUUGAUCAAGCAAAAGGAUGUAGUUCUAUGAUUCCAGGAGUGGGUAAAUUGCUUAUGGUUCAGGUACAUCUUGAUCGAUACCUAAAUAUUUAGUUAUUCGAGUCUCUUCAAUGGAUUUAACAUGGUCAUACCUCUUCUCUUGCGGGAUGCUUUUAUCAUUCUAGAUUUGGCAUGAAAUCAGUUAUAUUAGCUUAUUUCUGCUCUGUUCUGCUAUUGAAUUAUAUGAUUUUUAUAAUUUAGCUUUCAUACAUUUGUUACUCAAACAAACUUAUUUACAUAGGUAAUGACACUGUUAAAUUGACACUCAAACCAAGUUUAAUAUAAAUUUACGUGUGCAAGAUUGAUUAUAUAUCAUAGAUUUUUUUUUGAAUGAACUAACAGCCUAUAUAAAUUGAUCACAUAAAUUAAAUUUACGUAUGAAAAGUCAUAGUUCAUAAGCAGUUAACCAUGCAGUUGUCCAUUAUUGCACUAAGGUGGCAUAAGAACUUUCAUAAAUUAUUAAGUCACACUUUUGCAGUAGCACCUUCAACCUACAAAAUAAAACUUAAAAGCUGCAUAUGAGCACACAGAUUACGAGUCAAAUAUGCAUCAUAUCUAAGCUCAAUAUUGCAAACACUGAAGAAAGACAGAAGGAUAAUUUACCAUAUACUUCUUCUCUUAUUGGUUGAUUAUUUAUAGUUCAUAAAAAUUACACUGAAAAAGAAAAUUGUUAUUUGGAAAAUUCCCCACCUCCACAGUCCACACACAGUGCCAUUGAUUUCCCUUUCACAUCUCCAUAUUCUUAAUGGACAUUCCAUUGUAUGGUUAUGCGAACUCCAGUGUGAAUCUUGGAGUAAUAUCUGUGUAAGGGGUGUGCUAUAUUGGAAAACACUGCUAAACCUGCCUUGUCCUUUUUUUUACAUAAACCUGCAAAAAAAUUCUUUCAGUUUUUUCAUGAGUUCACCUUGAUGCAGAUGACCGUCUACCUUUUGUCUGAUCUCUAAAUUGGUAAUUAGUUGUUGGCACAUUUACGAGUACAUGUCACGCCUAUGUCACCAUCACACUCAAACAGAUAAUCGAAACAUCUGGCAGAUGAGUCUGGUUUUCCUCCACAGAAAGGCUACACCCACAUAGGCUAAAAAUUUCUGUACUUACAAUUAUCCCAAGGCACAAAGAUGAUACAUUAGCGUUUGGAAAUAGCACAGAACCUCACUAUUGCAUUUGGAAAUAAAAUCUUGGAUUGAUUUUCUAUGAAGGGAUAUAAUUGAGUAUCCUCAUGUGCAUAUAUUUAUCUACCACUUCGCGUUGCUGCCUUCCACGCAACCUUGUGUUUUUCUAUUUCAGAGAUUUGCUGAGUAAGAAGAAAAGAUAAUGUUGUUCUGCAGAUCCUAAUUUUUCGUUCAUCACAUAUUGCCUUUUCUUUUAGCAUGAACAUUGCUUAAUUGCACUCUCAGCAUUGUCGAACAGGCCCUUCUAUUGUUCAAUUAAAUGUGAUCAAAAGAUUUAUCUACUAUUUUAGGGACAACUCCUUUGGGAAGUUUACAAGGAUGCCUUAUGUUCAAGUUAGAGCGAUUUUUCUAUUUGGAUGUUCUUUAUGAAAAUUCAAAAAUAGUUUCCUGCACACCACUUUAUUUUUCUAUAUUCUCUCCUAAUUUAUUCAUGUACAUCAGUAUGAGUUUAAAUGCUAUCUCCUAAAUAUUUCAGUCUGCUGGGUUCCUACAUGUGUCCAGAUCUAUGUAACUAUUGACUACACACGAGUGGUGAACUUAAGUAUUGAGCGUAGGAAGAAAA